UACGAAGGGGGCUAGCGUUGCUCGGAAUUACUGGGCGUAAAGCGCGUGUAGGCGGCAGGGCAUGUCGGAUGUGAAAUCCCGUGGCUCAACCACGGAAGUGCACCCGAAACUGCCCAGCUUGAGUCUCGGAGAGGAAGGCGGAAUGCUUGGUGUAGAGGUGAAAUGCGCAGAUAUCAGGAGGAACACCGGUGGCGAAGGCGGUUCUCUGGGCAUGUCCUGACGCUGAGGAGCGAAAGUGUGGGGAGCGAACAGG
rnacentral:rRNA from 1 species